rnacentral:lncRNA from 1 species
GCUCGCUUGCCCUAACCUACAGGUGUCAGGAAUUAUAUAUAAUUCAAAUAAUUUUACUCAGGUGCCCCUAGAGGCUGAGGUAGGACUGGGAAGUGUUUUGACAAGCUUCUGAACCUGGGGAAGUGCUGAUGUGGGUGGGCAUCACCCAAGGUCUUGGCAAAACAAACACCCAAUUCUGGGGAUUUCAGGUGUGAUUGAAGAAAUUUGGACACAGACAGGAAGAUAUGACCUGCAAAGCAAAGAGAAAAAAAAAUCACACCGAAUACAGAUUAUCGGGGGAGGUGAGAGAGAGUUCCAUGGAAGUUUGAAGAAGGGACAGUUGGAUCCCCCCAGCUGGCUGGACUUCAUUCUUCUGCCUGAAGUGGCAAUGUGGUUUCCUCCAACACAGCACAAGGGCCAUCUCAAACGUGUUGAACAGGUUACUCAAGUCUUCCUCAAUCCCAGUUCUAAGUGA